ensembl:piRNA 21ur-1559 ncRNA
UCCAGGGGAAAAGUUGCUGAA